ensembl:lincRNA Y39A3B.3 ncRNA
AUGGUCGCCUCUAUUUUUUGCUGGUAUUUUUUAAAAUAUUUUUUUUGGAAUUUUUCCAGCUGGAUGGCCAAUAAUGCUGGAAAAGAGACCUAAAACUUCCCCGUGGAGAUCCUAUAAAAUAUGGAAGUGACAUCGAAAACAACGCUCCAGUACUCUUCGACUGAGAGAAAAAGCUUGAAAAAUGGUGAAAAAAACUUACAACAAGACGCCAGGAGCAUCGCAGUUGAAUGAUCUUCGAAAACCCGGUGAAACACAUUUUUUGGAGCCUGGAAUCACUGCCGCAGAUAAUUUUUUUCAUUUUUUUUUUAAAUUUUCAUUUUUUUUUGAAUAA